rnacentral:lncRNA from 1 species
AAUGUAAGUAAGGAGCUUGCGGAGAAGGAGAGUAUUGGCGAGAACUCUAAAGUAGAUCAUGAACAAAGUAAGGAUGGAAGUAAGAUUGAAAAUGAGGGCAAUAAGGAAGCUGCUGAUAAGGAAAGUGCAGGUGAGAUUGAAAAAGAACCAUCUACAGAAGAAAAAAAUACUGAGAACAAUGAUAAGAGCGAAAAUAGUGAAAGCAAGGAUAAGGAAAACAAAGUAAGUGACGAGGCUACAGCUGAAGGUGGCCCAUUCAAAUCAUUUCAACAGCUUUCGAGUAGUCAAAAUGCCUUCACAGGUCUUGUUGGAAGUGGAUUUUCUUCUUCCUUAUUUUCCUUUGGGCCUAAAACAAAUGAUGGGUCUGCUUUAGGUAGUGGAACUGGUUCUAUUUUUGGCUUGAAACUUGACCAGCCUUUGGGUCUGGGUUUAUCAAACACUGGAACUUCUGGUUUUGGGACGUCAGGAGCAUCUGCUAUUUCCAAGAGUGAAACACUGCAGGAAGUGGUCGUUGAAACCGGUGAAGAAAAUGAGGAAGUAGUUUUUAAUGCAGAUUCAGUGUUGUUUGAAUUUGUAGAGGGAGGUUGGAAGGAACGCGGAAAAGGAGAGGUGAAGGUGAAUGUCACAAGUGGAACAGAAAAGAAGGCCAGAGUUCUUAUGAGGUCUAAGGGAAAUUACAGAUUGAUUUUAAAUGCGCGUCUUUACCCCGAAAUGAAGCUCACAAAUAUGGAGAAAAAGGGUGUGACCUUUGCCUGUGCAACUGAAGGGAAAACUGGUCUUUCGACAUUUGCAUUGAAGUUCAGAGAUGGGUCCAUAGUGGAGGAUUUUAAGGCUGCUAUUACUGCACAUAAGGGUGAGGCAUCUACAACUGUGAAGACACCAGAAAAUUCUCCCAAGGCUUCUGAUGUUUGAGCUAUAUAUCCCACACUCACUCUUAUACUCAAUUUUCUCACAAACUCAGUUUCCUUAGCUGCUAUUUUGUUGUUGUUGUUGUUGUGUCUUUGUAUGACAGUUAAAUCAUAUUUGAGACUUGUUGUACUUCAAUUUGAGUCAACCUGCUAUGGUAGAGGGUUUUAAUGUUCUGGAUAAAGCGUGGAUCUAAAAUACAGAAUAUUCGAUUAUCAAAACUAUAUCUAGUGUUUAAAUUUUCUGACAUUUAAGUAUGAGGUAAGUUCUUGGAUAACCAACUCCUCAACAUGGUUUAUACUAAUGAUAAUAAGUGCAUGUUUGGUAAAGGGGAGUCGCCGAGAUUUUACAAGAGCUAUACUAGUUAGCUUUUGUAAAAUUACAAAUCCACACUGAUAUUAAAUAUGCACUAAAGUAAUUAUGAUUUUGAUUUUAUAUAGAUGUCAUUUUGUUAUAAAUGUGGAAUGAUUUACUCUCCUCAACAUGGUUUAUACUAAUGAUAAUAAUUGAUUAUGAUUUUGCUUUAUAUAUGGUAAAGACUGCCUCAAUAAGUAGAAAAUGGAAAUGAAGUUAAUUUUGAAAUAACAAAAUGUAGAUUUGGUUCAUAUAUAUGUUCAGAUGGGGGUGUUUGGAUCACAAAAUUCUUUCCCGUACACUUGUGCCCUAGAGGUAAAGAUGAGAAAAUUUUUAUUGAAAAAAUCAAUUAUAAAAUUAACUUUAUACCUUUAUUAAAAUCAAUAUAUAAUUUUUAACACAAAAUUAUUUUUUUUAGUUCUUAUCUUAUCUCCUUAGGACACAAGUUAAUAUUACCCUAACUUAUUUGCAAGAGUUUACUUAUCGAAAUAAAUGUUUUUGACUAAAUUUAUAAGUUAUUUUUAUAAUAAAAAAGUAAAAUUUACUUAUUUUUAUUUUAUUAUAAGUUGUUUUUAUAAAUUAUUUUAAAUCACUUUUAGAAUUUUUUUUACAAAAUAUAUAAAGAAUAUUAUAAGUUACUUUGAUAGAUCUCACAUUCAAUGAUACAAGCCUAUGUUGCUAGAUAAACUUAAAACAAAACAAUUUAAAUAGGCUCUUAGGGCUCAGUCUAUUCUCACAUAAGCGAGUAUAAAAUUAACUUUUUCUUGUCUUGUUUUAAAUAUUUAUUGGUGUUUAUAAACUGCAACUAAAUAUUAGUUUACUUUUUUUAAUUAUUUAGUGGCGCGGCGAUUUUAAACCGCCAUAAAUUUCCAAUAAUUAUUUUAUUACAGUUUAGAAUAAAUUGAAGAAAAAAUAUAAGUAGACAUUUAGCGUCGGCUUAAAACAUCUGUUAAAUAGCAGAAAUAAAAAGAAAAAAAUAACAAAAUCACUACUCACUUUACGGUCUUUCACGGUAGACAACACCGGCUAUUAGUGUAUAUGUGAAUUAUAUAUAUAUACAUACAUAUAUAUAUAUAUAUAUAUAUAUAUAUAUAUAUAUAUAUAUNGAGAAACCAAAAGGAUUAAGAGCGAAAAUAGUGAAAGCAAGAAGGAAAGGGAAAACAAAGUAUAGUGACGAGGCUACACUGAAGGUGGCCCAUUCAAAUCAUUUCAACCAGCUUUCCGAAGUAGUCAAAAUGCCUUCACAGGUCUUGUUGGAAUGGAUUUUCUUCUUCCUUAUUUUCCUUUGGGCCUUAAAACAAAUGAUGGGGUCUGCUUUAGGUUAGUGGAACUGCGUUCUAUUUUUGGCUUGAAACUUGACCAGCCUGUUGGGUCUGGGUUAUCAAACACUGGAACUUCUUGUUUUGGACGUCAGGAGAUUUCUGCCUAUUUCCAAGAGUGAAACACUGGCAGGAAGUGUGUCGUUGAAACCGGUGAAGAAAAUGAGGAAGUAGUUUUUAAUGCAGAUUCACGUUUGGUUGAAGUUGUGUAAGGAGGUUGGAAGGACGCCGGAAAAGGAAGGUGAAGUGAAUGUCACAAGAUGGAAACAGAAAAAGAAGGCCAGAGUUCUUAUGAGGCUCUAGCGGAAAUUACAGAUGAUUUUUAAAAUGCGCGUCUUUACCCCCGAAAAUGAAGCUCACAAAUAUGGAGAAAAAGGGUGUGACCUUUGGCCUGCUGCAACUGAAGGGAAAACUGGUUUUCGGACAUUUGCAUUUGAAGUUCAGAGAUGGUCCCAUAGUGGAGGAUUUUUAGCUGCUAUUUACUGCCAAUAAGGGUUUGAGGCAUCUACAAUGUGGAAGAACCAGAAAAUUCUCCCAAAGGACUUCUGAUGUUUUGAGCUAUAUAUUCCCACACUCACUCUUAUACUCAAUUUCUCACCAAACUCAGUUUCCUUAGCUGCCUAUUUUGUUGUGUUGGUUUGUUGUGUCUUGUAUGACAGUUUAAAAAUUCAUAUUAGACUUGUUGUACUUCAAUUUGGAGGUCAACCUGCUAUGGUAGAGGGUUUUAAUGUUCUGGAUAAAGCGUGGAUCUAAAAUACAGAAUAUUCGAU